rnacentral:rRNA from 1 species
UAGGGAAUCUUCCGCAAUGGGCGAAAGCCUGACGGAGCAACGCCGCGUGAGUGAUGAAGGUCUUCGGAUCGUAAAACUCUGUUAUUAGGGAAGAACAAAUGUGUAAGUAACUAUGCACGUCUUGACGGUAUCUAAUCAGAAAGCCACGGCUAACUACGUGCCAGCAGCCGCGGUAAUACGUAGGUGGCAAGCGUUAUCCGGAAUUAUUGGGCGUAAAGCGCGCGUAGGCGGUUUUUUAAGUCUGAUGUGAAAGCCCACGGCUCAACCGUGUAGGGUCAUUGGCAACUGGAAAACUUGAGUGCAGAAGAGGAAAGUGGAAUUCCAUGUGUAGCGGUGAAAUGCGCAGAGAUAUGGAGGAACACCAGUGGCGAAGGCGACUUUCUGGUCUGUAACUGACGCUGAUGUGAGAAAGCGUGGGGAUCAAACAGG